rnacentral:pre_miRNA from 1 species
UCUUACGGAUGAGCAAAGAAAGUGGUUUCUUGAGAUGAAAUUUACUUCUAAUGAAGAUGCUGUGAA